CUCAUGAUUUCCUGGAAGCUGGCUGUCCAUCAAUGGUGUAUAUAAGAUGUGUUAUAAGUAUGAUGCUUCCAUAAUACAUUUGGAUGUUUUCAGCUAAGUUCACUUCUGAACGAUGGGGUUCCUCCAAAUGUUGGCUGAAAUUUGUCCUUGCAUAUCUCCAAGCUCAUCUGCAAAGUCUACAGUUCAUAAUGGAGCUACUAUACUGCCUAUCGGAAGGAGGAGAUUCGGAAGAUAGGGAGAUUAAGAUCCCAAUACAUGAGGUCCUUCAAACAAGAAUAAUAGUGGAGAAGUAUAUAGCUGUAUUUUAUAAUCCAUCAAGGAGCCUGAAGACUUUGUGCCUGAAGAAGUAUCUUCAUAUCUAACUUGGUUAGGAGAAAAUAGGAUUCAGCUAUCGGGCUUUGAAACUUCCUGUGGUCUGUUCAAUCUAGAUGCAAAGGACCUGGAACAGUCAAGUGCGCAAGAGGUUUAAAUUGUUUUGGAUAUUCCUAUUUAUAGACAAAAAUAUUUUUCCAAUUCAGAUCCUCAGUUGUUAUGCAAAAGAAGGUCAUGUCUUCUUCAUCAUCCAUUUUAUUUGAAAUGAUUAGUAUUGUAGAGUAUCACCAAACAUUUUCUCUUUGAAUCAAAGUAUAGAAAAAAUAAAAUCAAUUCUAUAUGUUGA